AUUGAACGCUGGCGGCAUGCUUUACACAUGCAAGUCGAACGGUAGAGGGGGCAACCCCUUGAGAGUGGCGAACGGGUGAGUAAUGCAUCGGAACGUGCCCAGUCGUGGGGGAUAACGCAGCGAAAGCUGUGCUAAUACCGCAUACGAUCUCUGGAUGAAAGCGGGGGACCGAAAGGCCUCGCGCGAUUGGAGCGGCCGAUGUCAGAUUAGGUAGUUGGUGGGGUAAAGGCUCACCAAGCCAACGAUCUGUAGCUGGUCUGAGAGGACGACCAGCCACACUGUGACUGAGACACGGCCCAGACUCCUACGGGAGGCAGCAGUGGGGAAGUUUGGACAAUGGGCGCAAGCCUGAUCCAGCAAUGCCGCGUGCAGGAAGAAGGCCUUCGGGUUGUAAACUGCUUUUGUACGGAACGAAACGGUCUGGGUUAAUACCCUGGGCUAAUGACGGUACCGUAAGAAUAAGCACCGGCUAACUACGUGCCAGCCGCCGCGGUAA
rnacentral:rRNA from 1 species